rnacentral:rRNA from 1 species
CCAGACUCCUACGGGAGGCAGCAGUGAGGAAUCUUCCACAAUGGGCGAAAGCCUGAUGGAGCAACGCCGCGUGAAGGAUGAAGGCCUUCGGGUUGUAAACUUCUUUUAUGAGUGAAGAAUAUGACGGUAACUCAUGAAUAAGCACCGGCUAACUACGUGCCAGCAGCCGCGGUCAUACGUAGGGUGCGAGCAUUAUCCGGAGUGACUGGGCGUAAAGAGUUGCGUAGGCGGUUUAAUAAGUGAAUAGUGAAACCUGGUGGCUCAACCAUACAGACUAUUAUUCAAACUGUUAAACUCGAGAAUGGUAGAGGUAACUGGAAUUUCUUGUGUAGGAGUGAAAUCCGUAGAUAUAAGAAGGAACACCGAUGGCGUAGGCAGGUUACUGGGCCAUUUCUGACGCUAAGGCACGAAAGCGUGGGGAGCGAACCGGAUUAGAUACCCGGGUAGUCCACGCCGUAAACGAUGGAUACUAGCUGUUGGAGGUAUCGACCCCUUCAGUAGCGAAGCUAACGCGUUAAGUAUCCCGCCUGUGGAGUACGGCCGCAAGGCUAAAACAUAAAGGAAUUGACGGGGGCCCGCACAAG